GCAGCGGGGCGUGGCGAUUUGUACCGGAUUGCGGGCCACGUUAAACAUCCCGCUAAAGAGGUCGAGGUUCCCCAGAC
rnacentral:ncRNA from 2 species